rnacentral:rRNA from 1 species
GGCGUGUCGUCAGCUCGUGUCGUGAGAUGUUGGGUUAAGUCCCGUAACGAGCGCAACCCUUGUCCUUAGUUACCAGCACGUUAUGGUGGGCACUCUAAGGAGACUGCCGGUGACAAACCGGAGGAAGGUGGGGAUGACGUCAAGUCAUCAUGGCCCUUACGGCCUGGGCUACACACGUGCUACAAUGGUCGGUACAAAGGGUUGCCAAGCCGCGAGGUGGAGCUAAUCCCAUAAAACCGAUCGUAGUCCGGAUCGCAGUCUGCAACUCGACUGCGUGAAGUCGGAAUCGCUAGUAAUCGCGCAUCAGCCAUGGCGCGGUGAAUACGUUCCCGGGCCUU